rfam:Astyanax mexicanus Tnplaced_Scaffold_283, whole genome shotgun sequence.
GGCUCCAUAGUGGUUAGAGCGCUGGUCUAAUAAACCAUAGGUCAUGAGUUCGAUCCUUGCUGGAGCCU